UACGGAGGGUGCGAGUGUUGUUCGGAAUUAUUGGGCGUAAAGAGCGUGUAGGCGGUUUGGUAAGUCAGGUGUGAAAGCCCUGGGCUUAACCCAGGAAGAGCAUUUGAAACUACCUCACUUGAGUAUGGGAGAGGAGAGUGGAAUUCCCAGUGUAGAGGUGAAAUUCGUAGAUAUUGGGAGGAACACCCGUGGCGAAGGCGACUCUCUGGACCAAUACUGACGCUGAGACGCGAAAGCGUGGGGAGCAAACAGGAUUAGAUACCCCCGUA
rnacentral:rRNA from 1 species